UACGGAGGGGGCGAGCGUUAUUCGGAAUUACUGGGCGUAAAGGGCGCGUAGGCGGCCUUCUAAGUCGAACGUGAAAUCCCCGGGCUCAACCCGGGAACUGCGUCCGAUACUGGAAGGCUUGAAUCCGGGAGAGGGAUGCGGAAUUCCAGGUGUAGCGGUGAAAUGCGUAGAUAUCUGGAGGAACACCGGUGGCGAAGGCGGCAUCCUGGACCGGCAUUGACGCUGAGGCGCGAAAGCCAGGGGAGCAAACGGG
rnacentral:rRNA from 1 species